UGAGUUGUGAGUUCGUGCAUCGUCACUCGCUUCUCUCUUCCCUACGGUGAUGUCGUCUUGUGUGCAUCGUCGCGGGCCAUUUCUUCUGCUCCUUCUCUACUCAUGUCAUCACUGGUGCAUCUUGGCUGGAGUCCGUCGCUGUUGUGGCAUUUCUGACAGUGAACGUAGCUCCUUGUUCUCACUUUCUUCUGCUAACUCCUCCUUCAUUCCUUCUACAUGCUGUGGACGGUUAUGGAGGAGCUGUUUCCAUCACUGUAGGUGAUUCAGUUUGCUGGUUCUUCCUCCUUCCCCUGUUCCACGACUGGCCUGCUCUGCUUUUCUUUAUCUCUUGUUGUCCCUGUUUAAGAAUGAGUGUGGAGAUUUUAGUUCCCUUCCUUCGUUUCUGCAUUUGAAUUUUUUUGGUAAUAGAAUAGCUUAAGAGAAAAGAUGAGGUGUUUAGAAGGAAGAGGUUAUAAUUUUGACGGUUUAUCAG